AUUGAACGCUGGCGGCGUGCUUAACACAUGCAAGUCGAUCGGUAACAGGUGUAGCAAUACAUGCUGACGAGAGGCGGACGGGUGAGUAAUGCUUGGGAAUCUGCCUAUUAGUGGGGGACAACCCGGGGAAACUCGGGCUAAUACCGCAUACGCUCUACGGAGGAAAGCCGGGGACCGCAAGGCCUGGCGCUAAUAGAUGAGCCCAAGUCGGAUUAGCUAGUUGGAGGGUAACGGCCUACCAAGGCGACAAUCCGUAGCUGGUCUGAGAGGACGACCAGCCACACCGGAACUGAGACACGGUCCGGACUCCUACGGGAGGCAGCAGUGGGGAAUAUUGGACAAUGGGGGCAACCCUGAUCCAGCGACGCCGCGUGGGUGAAGAAGGCCUGCGGGUUGUAAAGCCUUCGGUGGGGAAGAAAAGUCUCGACCUAAUACGUCGGGGACCUUGACGUAACCCCACUAAAGAAGCACCGGCUAACUCUGUGCCAGCAGCCGCCG
rnacentral:rRNA from 1 species